rnacentral:sRNA from 1 species
AUUUAAAUGAUCAACCUGGGUAUGAUGCAUAUAUUUUUGAACGCGUAGGUUUUUAAGUAAUUGGACCAGGAGAUAUUCGCCAUUUUGGAUUUCAAAGGAAUGUCACAUAUUUAUUAAUUUGUAAUUUGUUUUCAAGAACACUCUUACUUGAUCAUUUGAUGCUUUCAAAAAGAAUCUUUUGAUAAAAAGGCUUGAUGGCCAUGUACCAACGAAGUGGUAUACAAGACGUCCUACGAUGUGAUCUAUGUGAACAACCUUCAUUCACUAUGUUCUGUGACAUUUGUCAAAUACAACUUUGUAAAGCCUGUGUUGGGGAACAUCUAAAACACAUAAGGUAGUUCAAUUCAGAAAUCGAGGAUCCACCCCUAAAUGCCCAAAACAUUCCACAAAAAAAUGUGAACUUCAUUGUGAAAAAUGCGACAUUCCAAUUUGUGCCACGUGUGUUUCUUGUGGUGAACAUGAACAGCACAAAAAAGUUGACAUAAUGAAAACUUUUGAAAACAAGAAAACCCUUUUACAGAGGGAUUUACAAGAAUUAGAGGAAUCAAUUUCCCCUGAAUAUCAAGAGAUUGCCUCUGAUAUCCCAGGUCAGAAAGUUAAUCUGAUUAAAAACUCUGAAAUAGUGAUUGGAGAUAUAGACAUUUAUGGGGAUGCAUUGCACAGAGAAAUAGACAUUAUCAUCAAUACAAUGAAAUCCGACCUCAAAAAAAACAAAUGAAAAAUAUCUUUCCGUUCUUAUUAUACAGGAAAAUGAAAUUGAACGCAGCAUGUCUGAAAUUGAAAAAACCAUAAAUAAUCUGAGGGAAUUAUUGGACUCAAAAAAUAUUUACCAUGUUUCUUCUUACAAAUCCAGAAAUGCUGAAUUCCGAACAUUGCCUCCUAAGCUUUCAAUUUCGUUAGCAAGCUUUAUGCCUUCAGAAAUAAACAAACCACUGAUUUGUCAACAGAUUGGCUCCUUGUCUGCGUCAUCUAUUAAAGCCAUUGAACGAAAGUACACAAUGAAAUGUAGGACCUCACCCAUUCGGAGACCACAAAAUAAAAACAGUACUUUGAAGAAAAGGAAGUAUAAACCAAAACGAAAUCCACGUGCCAACACAGUAGACCCUCAAUGUGUCCCUUGGGAUGGCAGAUAUGUAACGAUUGCAUCCCUUAACAUCCAAGAAAGAAGCACCGAAUAUGACGACUCGAAUUGAAUUUUCGUUGUACUAUGUUUAAAUGAUGAAAAACGACAACCGGUGACGAAAACAUCAACAACUCAACAACUCCAAGAGGGAACUAUUGAAUUCUAUCAAAACGAAAUCAGAAAAUAUGCCAGUCAACACAGGAACCACAAGGUUUUGCUGGCUAAUUUAUACUGUUGACGAUAUGAACUUACUGACAAAAACUAUAGGAUAUUGACUUUCAUUAAAGACAGGAAUAUUCUCUUCUUUUGAAUUGUAGAUCAUGGUCAGAUAUGAUAAAGAAGAAACUAAC